ACCUCUACAGGACCAGAGGCCCAGGCAAAACUCUCCAGGAGCAGAGGGGCAGUUCACAGCUCAUCAGGGCAUGCAUGGGACAAACUCAGCCCUGCCUCACAGGAACAAAGGACACUGGCCUAGACAGCAACAAAGGAUCUGUUGGACUCUCGAAUGAGUCACCCACCUUCCCUUGGUCAGUUUGGGACUAUGAUGAGGUAAUGCUCACCUGACUCUGAAGGGGCAGGAGGCAAAGCCAUGAGGAAAGAAAGAACACGAUAAAAGGGGGAGAUGUUUGCCAUGCUCUCUCUUCCACCUCCAUCUACAGACUCCACCACCAAGAGACUGAACACUGAACAAAUGGGAGAGCCUGGCUGAAGGGCAACCAGACAG